CGCUCUACUGCCAAUGUUGAAUAAAUUCAAGGUCAUUCCGCCAAAAAUGAGUGCUCAUAUGCAAUACUGAGUAACUUGAGAUAACGGACCAUUCAAGAACAAGUUUCCGAGAGCUCUUUAGCCUCCUCAUGUGACUAUGGUGGGAAGAAACCACUUCAACACGUUUGGGUCUUGAUCUUCCCUGUGUUUUUCUUGAUGGUACCACCCCGUACGAACGAUACAGGCAGCAAGAAACCAUAUGUACAGUCGUCGGAAAGAAUUGCUGGAUGCCCAACUGAUGACUUGAUUCGGGCAACGAGACCUUGGAAAUCCAUCCACUAAGAUUUUCCAGCGCCAAGCAGAUUGGUCCCUGAACUACAUUUUCAAGUGGAUUUUGUGUCUUUUCUGCUGUGUUAUUUGUUAAGGCAUGUAGACCAAUCUACAUGCAUGCACACGGUUUGAUUACAUGAUACGAGUCCGUUUUCUGAGUGCACUAGCCAAAACAGAAUACUCAUGAGUAUCCCAUCACUGUCCCAGUGACAUCUUGUGACUCACAGAUGACAUCACUCACAGGGCAGCUACAAAUUGGUGGAAAAUUGAAAAUCCAUGAAGUAACCACCAGAAGUUUUGAGGGUCCCACAAGAGUGUAUAGGGUCUAUGGUUGCCUGCCUGCACUUCCUUGCUGCUCCAAACCACAUGAUGACAGCUUGCUUGGGAGCUUUACAGGCUGCCAGUUAAUAACUCUGACAUUUCCUACAACCAUAUCCUGCACAUCUGUCUGGAUUAAUAUGCUGGUAACAGGUGUAUUGAAGUGGAUGUCAUGUCUGACGUCUUUUUAGGUUUCUAAUGAAGAAUUCUUUUUAAUUUUUUUUUAUAUACUGGCAUGGCCAUUAACCUAUCAUGCUAGUCACAAUUAAUAAUACUAUCUUCAGGCAAACUUUAAAUCUCAGUUCUGAUUGGUCAAUCCAUGACAACAAACAGUGUGAUAAAGAACCGCACUGCAUGGUUCAUAUCAAACCCUGCGUAAUCGACGCACAUGCUGUUCUAUUAAACUCAACGCAUUGUGCUAUUUUCAUGCUAAAAGCAAGCACACAUCUGCAGGACUGUAAAUUCAAGAGAGGCGUGUUUGCCCGUGCUGAUCAUCACGUGUUUAAAUGCACGUACAAAUCUAACAACUUAAUUUCUUAGUGCAAGUCCUGUUGUUAUUGUUGUUAUUGAAAUAAGUUAAACCACAAAUAAUUCCCAUAUCCCUCAAUAUACAUGUAAUUGCAUAGUUGUGGUAUGUCCUCGUUACUGUUUUGGCUGUGUGCUGUAUGAUACAUAUAUCUUUGGUCUUCUUUCUUUAUAUAAAGCGCACAUAGGCCCCUUUACUUUCUUUUCUGGGAGUCAAGUUUGCUUGAAGAUAAGUUCGUUAUCACACUCGUGCUUGUGGAACAAGGAAUAAUGUAGUGCGCCUUCGGCCUUGUGGCAUACGGGAUACAGACGCACAAUGUUAUUUCAUGUUCCAAUCGCGCUCCUGUGAUAAGUAAUAUUAUACCGUACAUGUAGCAUUAUCCAUGACUUACUUAUCAGGCCAACUUUUUUCCCAGGAGAUCUUAGGAUCUUCAGCUAUCACAGGAACCCUAACGUUACCCCCUCUGUACGCAGAAGUGUCCUUUAAACACACUGCAUGGGGCACUUGUUAGCGAACAGAGCUGCAUGCAUACUCAAAUAUGACUUGUUCCCCCAAAGGAGUCUUAUUAAGGCAAUUUUCCAUUUUUUUUCUUUGAUUUGUAAUCUGCUCUAGCAGAGCGGGAAGAAAAGAGGGCGUGUUAAUCAAUGGCAAUUACAGUCCUUUGGUGCACAAGUUUAUGCGAGUUUAACCCGGAGUGUGCUGAGUACGCAGAACAAUUUAUUCUGGAAUGUACAUGUAUGGUCUUUGCAUGCACGCCAACCGCGUGCAAAAACCCAGUUGGAAAACUUUGUGCCAGACUGUCUUUCGCUGGUGAGGGUGGACUUCGACUCUGAGCGGAAAAGGAAAUAAACAGAGCUCUUUGUUUUGAAGUACAUAUACAAAUGUAUAUGUACAAGUGUC
rnacentral:lncRNA from 1 species